CCUACGGGGGGCUGCAGUGGGGAAUAUUGCACAAUGGGCGCAAGCCUGAUGCAGGCAUGCCGCGUGUGUGAAGAAGGCCUUCGGGUUGUAAAGCACUUUCAGCGGGGAGGAAGGCGGUGAGGUUAAUAACCUCAUCGAUUGACGUUACCCGCAGAAGAAGCACCGGCUAACUCCGUGCCAGCAGCCGCGGUAAUACGGAGGGUGCAAGCGUUAAUCGGAAUUACUGGGCGUAAAGCGCACGCAGGCGGUCUGUCAAGUCGGAUGUGAAAUCCCCGGGCUCAACCUGGGAACUGCAUUCGAAACUGGCAGGCUAGAGUCUUGUAGAGGGGGGUAGAAUUCCAGGUGUAGCGGUGAAAUGCGUAGAGAUCUGGAGGAAUACCGGUGGCGAAGGCGGCCCCCUGGACAAAGACUGACGCUCAGGUGCGAAAGCGUGGGGAGCAAACAGGAUUAGAUACCCCUGUAGUC
rnacentral:rRNA from 1 species